CCCAAUAUUUGUACCACCCCUGAGAACACCUCUCUUGUCUGAUCUUGGAAGCCAAGCAGGGUCAGGCAUGGUUAAUAUUUUGAUGGGAGACCGCCCAGCAGGGGUGUAGGGC
rnacentral:rRNA from 1 species